GGGAGCAUUCUUUCAGCCCACGGUCUGCUCCCUACCAAGUGAGAAGAGCCCAGAGGGGAGGGCAGCCCAGAUCAAGCAGCAGGAGCUCACAGCAGGCUGCUUUUCCUUGCAUGUUCCUGACAUCUAAGUGGGCAGGCAAGUAGUUGUUGCUCACAAAGCAAAUAUAAGGUAUCUGUCUAUCAGGUAUAUCUGGUACACACUGAUAAAGCAAUGGUCAGAUCCAGCCCAGAAGGCUCUGCCUGGCACUGUCAGAUUGCCCAUACAGGACCAUGGCGCUGGCAUGGCACCAGGAUGAGCUGAUAGCUUUGCAUGCUUCCCACGCUACAGCGUGUGCUGCACAGAGGCCAGCCUGCCUUGCAGAGCAGGAUCCGUGGUCAUUCAUGGGAGGACAGCAGGGAAAUGCUCACAGAACUGGGCUGCAGUUGGCAGAAGCAUCAGUCUCUCAGUUCUAAUGUCUACAGAUGAACAGAGAGGGAUUUUAAUCACUCACCUCCAACUUGCUCCACAAAAGAACAGGCAAUUAUUUUUUCCCUAGGGAUAAGAAUAGCACUGAAGCAUUCCUGGUUUGUGUUUGUUUGCUUCUCGUGCAAUGGCACAUCAGAACAGUUUACCUCCAACUCCUGUGAAAUAAUUACAGUGCUCAACAUGAUGGUGGGUCCGCAACAGCCCUCAUGGGGAAAGGGGUGCGGAGAGUCCGUGUGUGUGGUAGGGAGAGCAGCACAAACGUGAGUACUGCUGAAACUUAAAGGACAAAACUUAAAGGAAAUGGCCUCAAGCUGAGCCAGGGGAGGUUUAGGUUGGAUAUCAGGAAAAAACUUCCUUACAGAAAGGGUUGUUAAGCACUGGAAUAGGCUCCCCAGGGAGGGGGUUGAGUCACCAUCCCUGGACGUGUUUAAAAACCGUUUGGAUGCGGUGCUCAGGGACAUGAAUUAGCAGAGGGUUGUUAGUUAGGGUAGUAUGGUUAGGUUGUGGCUGGAUUUGAUGAUCUUUAAGGUCUUUUCCAACCUGAAUGAUACUAUGAUUCCAAUACUGGAUCAUCCAGUGUACCUAUAGACAAGAACUCCAAGGAGAACACAGGUUUUUAAAUUCUUGAGAGAGAACGCAAGAGAAACAAGGGACAGCAUUAUCUGCCACAGAAAGAGACUCCUGGAUUUUCCACGUUUCAUACAAGGGGCAAAACCUCAGGAAUAGGACGUGAUCCUAUCGAGUGACUCACUCCUGCUGCUCCCACGACCUCAGCAUUUUCUUCUCACACGAAACCUUUGCAGGCCAUGCUAACACAGCACCUUGGAGCUAACUGAAGCCACACGCUCCUGAAAGCGUCACGAUGGGAGGAACACUUUGCCUUCCAGGGAGCUUCAGCACCAAGGCACACCACCACAAAACGCGCCUGGAAACGCUCUUCCCUUUCCAUGAGAACCGAAGGCCUUUCAGCUUGCUAUUAAUGAAAAGAAAAAUACUCAGAGGGGACUGCAGGCACACCAUGAAGUGAAUGAGGAAAGAGAGCAAGCAGCAGCCUGACCACACCACAGGCUUCUCCUGGUGAGAUCGCUAACCAGCAGGGACACCAUUCAGAAAAUGACAAAAACAAAAGGGAUACGCUGGAUGAAAACGAUAUAGCACAGGGCUAACGCCCUGCUCAUCAGAUGAGGUACAAGGGAAGUACUCCAGAUAUGAUGAGAUGCUGAUUUGGAGUUUGCUUCCAGCAUUCUGCUGUGGGAGACCACCUCUCAGAGCAGUGCUUACACAGAGAUGACCACGAGCAUCGUGUAGCCCAUAAGAAAUUAAGACUGUCCCAUCGGUGGGAAGUUAACGUCAACAAUUUCUGUAACAGGGAGGGUAACAGUGAGAGCUUCAAAAGCACUGCAAAUAUUAGCUAUUUGUCAUGAUUGUCACGGUGGGACAAGAAAUUAGAUAGAAAAAAUAAAGACUUCUGGAUGGGGACUUCUUUCUUUUUCUCAGCCUUAGCAAGGACAACCCUAAGAGAGGGCACUAAAGCAGCUCAUUUCAGCAACUCAUUUAAACAACUCCAAGUGCAUUCUUUUUCCCCAGAACGUUAACAAGGUAAAAAACAAACAAACAUACCUGAAUUGGCGCCAGCUGAAUGGCCAGAAC
ensembl:lncRNA